GACGAACGCUGGCGGCGUGCCUAACACAUGCAAGUCGAGCGGGGUUGAAGCGAGGGGUAACUCGAGUUUCUACCUAGCGGCGGACGGGUGAGUAACGCGUGGGCAACCUGCCUCAAGGACUGGGAUAACAGCUCGAAAGGGCUGCUAAUACCGGAUAAGCCUAUGGCCUCGCAUGGGGCCAUGAGCAAAGGGGAAACCCGCCUUGAGAUGGGCCCGCGUCCCAUCAGCUAGUUGGUGAGGUGAAGGCUCACCAAGGCGACGACGGGUAGCCGGCCUGAGAGGGUGACCGGCCACACUGGGACUGAGACACGGCCCAGACUCCUACGGGGGGCAGCAGUGGGGAAUCUUGCACAAUGGGCGAAAGCCUGAUGCAGCGACGCCGCGUGAGCGAAGAAGGCCUUCGGUUGUAAAGCUCUGUCUGGAGGGACGAAGGAAGUGACGGUACCUCCGGAGGAAGCCACGGCUAACUACGUGCCAGCAGCCGGGUAAACCUGUAGUCGU
rnacentral:rRNA from 1 species